ACAGCAGUAGCCACGGGAAUACGAAGGGUGCAAGCGUUAAUCGGAAUUACUGGGCGUAAAGCGUGCGUAGGCGGUUUGUUAAGUCUGUUGUGAAAUCCCCGGGCUCAACCUGGGAAUGGCAAUGGAUACUGGCAAGCUAGAGUGUGUCAGAGGAUGGUGGAAUUCCCGGUGUAGCGGUGAAAUGCGUAGAGAUCGGGAGGAACAUCAGUGGCGAAGGCGGCCAUCUGGGACAACACUGACGCUGAGGCACGAAAGCGUGGGGAGCAAACAGGAUUAGAUACCCGCGUAGUCCCUGUCUCUUAUAC
rnacentral:rRNA from 1 species